rnacentral:ribozyme from 1 species
GGAAGCAAGAUUUGCUUUCAGCAUUACCACCUGAAUUCUCAAUAUUUGCCCCCCCUCCAUCCGUUCCUCAACCUGUUGAUUUGUCUCCAAA